rnacentral:lncRNA from 1 species
CCUGCUGGCAACCCUCAAUCAGCUCCAUUUUGACCUCCUGGUAGGUGAGGUUUGGGAAAGCUGACCAGAUGAGGCCGGCAGCUCUUGCGGCAGGAGCUGCGAACGAUGUGCCAUUCACUCUAGCAGGCACUGGCGCCACUCGCGUAAAAAUAUCAGCGCGCAGGGACGCAGCACCAAAAAGAACGGCGUGACUACAAAGCUAAGAACGUGUCGGUAGCGUGCGUUGUCACCACCGCUCCCAUGUCCCAGGUGCGAAAAUGUGGACAUAGUUUCUUCCGUAGUUCGAGAGUGUGGCUCUGAUUCCGCUUCGAGUGCUAGUGCCAACACUAACAAUGUGUGCCAGCAGGUACACCUGUGGUGUGUGGAAGUGCCUGGGAAAAAAGUAAGUAGUCGUAGACCUAGAGAUAUGAAGUUUCAUGUAUGCCUCCGGCAACCAAGUAGUCCACAAAGAAUUGUUUUCUUACUGGGGGUGGUUAGCUCCCGAAGUUACAAACAAAUACCUUGCGAGUUGGACUCGCCGAAUAGCUUCAAACUCAAGAGCCGACCACCUAAGUCACAGUAACCACACGGCAAGAGUUUGACACUGGCCCCAAAAUUAGCAUGCUUGCAUGUAGUACACGGAAUCUUGUUCGGCAGUUAAGGCGUGCUGCUUCUUGCAUGAGUGUGGGGUAGUUAUGCCCGGUUCUACACGGUGUUCCCCUCAGCUAGCUGUGGCUCUGGGUGGCAGGCUAACUUACCCAUAAUCGCCGUAAGAAUUGUUGCUUAUCC